rnacentral:rRNA from 1 species
UGGGGAAUAUUGCGCAAUGGGGGCAACCCUGACGCAGCAACGCCGCGUGCGGGACGACGGCCUUCGGGUUGUAAACCGCUUUCAGCAGGGAAGAUAGUGACGGUACCUGCACAAGAAGCCCCGGCUAACUACGUGCCAGCAGCCGCGGUAAUACGUAGGGGGCGAGCGUUAUCCGGAUUCAUUGGGCGUAAAGCGCGCGCAGGCGGCUCUUCAAGCGGAACCUCUAACCCCGGGGCUCAACCUCGGGCCGGGUUCCGAACUGGAGGGCUAGAGUGCGGUAGAGGCAGGCGGAAUUCCCGGUGUAGCGGUGGAAUGCGCAGAUAACGGGAAGAACUCCGAUGGCGAAGGCAGCCUGCUGGGCCGACACUGACGCUGAGGCGCGAAAGCUAGGGGAGCGAACAGG